rnacentral:misc_RNA from 1 species
AAGUCGUAACAAGGUUUCCGUAGGUGAACCUGCGGAAGGAUCAUUAACACGGAUCCAACGUUAAACCCCCUGUGCACACAGCGACCUGCUCCCCAAUUUCGGUCUUUUGGCAAUCCCUGGUAAAUCAUCGCCGAACAGUUUUGAUUCAGGGAGGGUAUUAAAGUAGUAGUCAAUGCAAAAGCGACCUGGUUUCUUUGAAGCAGAAAGUGUGAUGGCGUGAGCCGGAGAACGGACCGAGUGGUAGUUCAAAGGUGCCUUCUGUCGCGCGCUGUGGAAAGGAAGACGCUUUACGAAUCACUGUCCAAUGACCGGGUUCCUGGUCCUAGACCCCAUAUUCACCACCAUAGUCGCAGACGAGGUAGGGAUACGUCCCUACCACCAAAUAAAUACUUGAACAACUGUUAACAAUGGAUAUCUUGGUUCUC